rnacentral:rRNA from 1 species
UACGUAGGGUGCGAGCGUUGUCCGGAAUUAUUGGGCGUAAAGAGCUUGUAGGCGGUUUGUCGCGUCUGCUGUGAAAAUCCGGGGCUCAACCCCGGACUUGCAGUGGGUACGGGCAGACUAGAGUGUGGUAGGGGAGACUGGAAUUCCUGGUGUAGCGGUCGAAAUGCGCAGAUAUCAGGAGGAACACCGGUGGCGAAGGCGGGUCUCUGGGCCGAUGACUGACGCUGAGGAGCGAAGCGUGGGGAGCGAACAGG